AGCGAACGCUGGCGGCAGGCCUAAUACAUGCAAGUCGAACGAACCUUUCGGGGUUAGUGGCGGACGGGUGAGUAACACGUGGGAACGUGCCUUUAGGUUCGGAAUAACUCAGGGAAACUUGUGCUAAUACCGAAUGUGCCCUUCGGGGGAAAGAUUUAUCGCCUUUAGAGCGGCCCGCGUCUGAUUAGCUAGUUGGUUGAGGUAAUGGCUCACCAAGGCGACGAUCAGUAGCUGGUCUGAGAGGAUGAUCAGCCACAUUGGGACUGAGACACGGCCCAAACUCCUACGGGAGGCAGCAGUGGGGAAUCUUGCGCAAUGGGCGAAAGCCUGACGCAGCCAUGCCGCGUGAAUGAUGAAGGUCUUAGGAUUGUAAAAUUCUUUCACCGGGGACGAUAAUGACGGUACCCGGAGAAGAAGCCCCGGCUAACUUCGUG
rnacentral:rRNA from 1 species